rnacentral:hammerhead_ribozyme from 1 species
AUCGAUCUGAUGAGUCCCAAAUAGGACGAAACGCCUAUCCUGGAU